CUGCUGCCUCCCGUAGGGGUCUGGUCCGUGUCUCAGUACCAGUGUGGGGGGCCGUUCCUCUCAGAACCCCUACGCAUCGUCGGUUAGGUGGGCCGUUACCCCGCCUACUGCCUAAUGCGCCGCAUGCCCAUCCCUGUCCGGCCGAAGCCUUUCCUGCCUCCGGGAUGCCCCGGUGGCAUGUACGCGGGUUUAGCCCGCCUUUCGGCGGGUUGUCCCCCUGACAGGGGCAGGUUGCAUACGUGUUACUCACCCGUGCGCCGGUCGCCGGCGGAGGAAGCAAG
rnacentral:rRNA from 1 species